GUUUUUGUUUUUACUGUUUUAGAAGUAUAUGUUUAACUUCAUUCUCCUACAAAUAUGAACCCAGUGUUCUUUGUCCCCAUAAUGAUUGUGUAAAUUUGGGUUCUUUUUCUUUAGACAUUUUUUUUUCAAAUCUUAAUGGCUUAUCUGUUAGUUUUAUAUUUAAGAUCGGUUCUGUUCCCAGGGUGUUGGAGAAAUGAUGCCUCAGAUUUCAGGAUUUUUUGUGUUUGUUAUUUCCUGAACUCUACUUAGUUCUUUCAAUUUCUAUAAUCCAGGGACAGAGGAAGUCCCUGCUACCCCAGGCUUAAAUGUUGUCUGCACCUGACCUCAGUUGCUUCCACUAGAGCCUGCUACCACCAGUAGUUCUGCCACUUCAAGCACACAGCAUGCCUUCCCUUGGGUUGACAGUCAGAGAUUUAACCUUCCUGUGAGUGACCAUAGAUAGCAGGACCCCAGCCCCAUAGCUACUGCACAGUCUGGUGUGUGUUUCAUCUUUGCUCUUGAUCUAUUGAAUCCAUAGCUUGGGACAGUGCCUGUGUCUAGUCAGUAUGCCUGGGCCCAUGAAGUUCUUUCCGGUUUGCUGACUCCACCAAUAUCCCUCCGCAGGAUACAGACUCUAAAGUUAAACAGACAAGGCUGGUUCGUUGAGCCAAAUCUGCACUUUCAUGAUGACAGAUGGACAAAGGGAAACGCAGACAAGACAGUAUUAAUGCUACAACUCCUUCUCAGAACUUUGGAGGAGAAGUAUAAUCAUCCAAGCUCUUGAGACCCAACCUGUUAAGAGUGAAUGGGAUUGGAAGAAUGCCUUCCAGAGACUGUGCAAAGUAAGUAAAUACUAAGCACUGGUGAAGUCUCUGCCCUAAAGGAAAUGACAGUUGGUUGGGGAAAGUCAACAUAUAAAAGAAAGCUGAAAAAGAAAGAGAGGAAGUAUCUGGCAAAGAAGUCCAAAAGCAGUACAGUCAGAUUAGAAAUUAAGAGAUAGUCAUCCUGGGUCAGGAGUUAAUGAUGCCACCCUUCAAACAGAAUGACCAAGGAUAAUAGUGUGUAAAGUGUCAAGGCUGAUUGGUUCUUUUCCUAGUAUUUGUAUCCCUAGUGCUUAGCACAGUAUCUGGAAAAUAAUGGGCUCUUAAUAAAGUUUUAUUGACUCACUGACUUUAUCUUUGG
rnacentral:lncRNA from 1 species